AACGCACAUUGCGCCCAUUAGUAUUCUAGUGGGCAUGCCUGUUCGAGCGUCAUUUCAACCCUUAAGCCUAGCUUAGCGUUGGGAGACUGCGCUAAACCGCAGCUCCUCAAAACCAGUGGCGGAGUCCUCUCGUACUCUGAGCGUAGUAAUUCUUUAUCUCGCUUCUGCAAGUACGGUUGACGACAGCCAUAAACCGCACCCUCUCGGGGGGCACUUUUUAAUGGUUGACCUCGGAUCAGGUAGGAAUACCCGCUGAACUUAA
rnacentral:misc_RNA from 3 species